rnacentral:snRNA from 1 species
GUGCUCACUUUGGCAGCACAUAUGCUAAAAUUGCAAUGAUAUGGAGAAUAUUAGCAUGGCCCCUGCACAAGGAUGACAUGCAAAUUCGUGAAGCAUUCCAUAUUUUU